rnacentral:rRNA from 1 species
UACGUAGGGGGCGAGCGUUGUCCGGAUUUAUUGGGCGUAAAGAGCGUGUAGGCGGCCAGGUAGGUCUGCUGUGAAAACUCGAGGCUCAACCUCGAGACGUCGGCGGAAACCAUCUGGCUAGAGUCCGGAAGAGGAGUGUGGAAUUCCUGGUGUAGCGGUGGAAUGCGCAGAUAUCAGGAGGAACACCAAUUGCGAAGGCAGCUCGCUGGGACGUUACUGACGCUGAGACGCGAAAGCGUGGGGAGCAAACAGG